rnacentral:rRNA from 1 species
UACGAAGGGGGCUAGCGUUGCUCGGAAUCACUGGGCGUAAAGGGUGCGUAGGCGGGUCUUUAAGUCAGGGGUGAGAUCCUGGAGCUCAACUCCAGAACUGCCUUUGAUACUGAAGAUCUUGAGUCCGGGAGAGGUGAGUGGAACUGCGAGUGUAGAGGUGAAAUUCGUAGAUAUUCGCAAGAACACCAGUGGCGAAGGCGGCUCACUGGCCCGGUACUGACGCUGAGGCACGAAAGCGUGGGGAGCAAACAGG